UACGUAGGGUGCGAGCGUUAAUCGGAAUUACUGGGCGUAAAGCGUGCGUAGGCGGUUGGCAAAGUCAGCUGUGAAAGCCCCGGGCUUAACCUGGGAAUGGCGGUUGAAACUAGUCGACUCGAAUCUGGCAGAGGGGGGUGGAAUUCCCCGUGUAGCAGUGAAAUGCGUAGAGAUGUGGAGGAACACCGAUGGCGAAGGCAGCCCCCUGGGCUGAGAUUGACGCUCAGGCACGAAAGCGUGGGGAGCAAACAGG
rnacentral:rRNA from 1 species